CUGAGAUCAGAAGAGCCAGUUUAUAGAUCUGGGUGGAGCCAGCUGAUCCACCAAGUUCAAGAGAGAGUCUCAGGAACAAACAGCAAAGUUAUUUACAACUUUUAUCUUCUUCUGAUAGUAACUAUUUUGAUAAUGACAAUAAGUUAUCUGAAUGGUGCCUGCAACUUCUGUGACCAUUUUGCCAUGUUGGGACCAAGUGUGAAUGCAAAGUUUGCACAUAGAGGAGAACUGACCAAUCGGAGAAUGGAAAACUUCUUGAUCAUUGAUGACAGCAGUCAACCAGUGAAGCCAUCAAGCCUGGAGUUUUUCCUACUGCUGGAAUUCUUGUCAUUGCAGAAAAUCAAUGUUGUGUUCUGAUUUGGGGCAUUCUAGCUUGCAAAUAGAGGCAUCUUAGCUGACACCAAAU
rnacentral:lncRNA from 1 species